rnacentral:rRNA from 1 species
AGUGAACGCUGGCGGUAGGCCUAACACAUGCAAGUCGAACGGCAGCACAGUAAUAGCUUGCUCUUACGGCUGGCGAGUGGUGGACGGGUGAGGAAUACCUCGGAAUCUACUUUUUCGUAGGGGCUAACGUAGGGAAACUUACGCUAAUACCGCAUACGACCUACGGGUGAAAGCAGGGGAUCUUCGGACCUUGCGCGAUUGUAUGAGCCGAUGUCGGAUUAGCUAGUUGGCGGGGUAAAGGCCCACCAAGGCGACGAUCCGUAGCUGGUCUGAGAGGAUGAUCAGCCACACUGGAACUGAGACACGGUCCAGACUCCUACGGGAGGCAGCAGUGGGGAAUAUUGGACAAUGGGCGCAAGCCUGAUCCAGCCAUACCGCGUGGGUGAAGAAGGCCUUCGGGUUGUAAAGCCCUUUUGGUGGGAAAGAAAAGCAGCAGGUUAAUACCCCGCUGUUCUGACGGUACCAAAAGAAUAAGCACCGGCUAACUUCGUG